CCUACGGGAGGCAGCAGUAAGGAAUAUUGGACAAUGGAGGCAACUCUGAUCCAGCCAUGCCGCGUGCAGGAUGACUGCCCUAUGGGUUGUAAACUGCUUUUGUACGGGAGAAAACCCUUUCACGAGUGGAAGGUUGAUAGUACCGUAAGAAUAAGGAUCGGCUAACUUCGUGCCAGCAGCCGCGGUAAGACGAAGGAUCCAAGCGUUAUCCGGAUUCAUUGGGUUUAAAGGGUGCGUAGGCGGGUUUGUAAGUCAGUGGUGAAAGCCGGUCGCUCAACGAUCGAAUUGCCAUUGAUACUGCAGGCCUAGAAUAUAGAUGAUGUUGGCGGAAUAUGACAUGUAGCGGUGAAAUGCAUAGAUAUGUCAUAGAACACCUAUUGCGAAGGCAGCUGACAAAACUAUUAUUGACGCUGAUGCACGAAAGUGCGGGGAUCAAACAGGAUUAGAUACCCUUGUAGUC
rnacentral:rRNA from 1 species